GGUCCCCUCUCCCUAUACUCCAGCAGAAGAGCUAGCCCUGGAUUUUAAUAGUAAGAGACCAAUUGUGGAGGGCAUCCCUGGGGGUAACACCUCCUUAGACCCACAGCCAGGGACCAGCAGCAGCACCACCUUUAUUUCAGUUCGAAACAACACGCCCACACUUUUACCUGUCCCACAAGUGAUGUCUGAAGCAUGUGUAGACAGUGAAGAAACCCUGUCUGACGAGUGUCUGGAGGAAUUACUUGUAAGAAUGUAUGAUACAGGUGUAUGUAUCUUUGUGUAUGUAAUAUGACAGUAAUUUAUUAUUUGUGAGGUGCCGGAGUCUCCACCUCAGGAGAGGUCCACAGAUAGGGCUCCAGAGAAGCCGAUAGAAAGUGCUCCAGAAGACUCCACGCACAGAAGUGAAACUGAGGUGCCCAGUGUUAUACUUGUCAUUGAAUUUUGUUGGGAAAGGCACAUAUUGAGGUGUCCCCAUUUAGUUUUUCUGUUUCCAUUUUUGUUUUGGGUUUAGUUUUUUUUACAUUUUUUUCCCCUUCACAACUGGCACAGAGUGACAUCCGCUCUUUGUACAGAAGAAACCUGCAGCUUAAAAAUGAAUACUUAGUGCUGAUGAAACGGAGAGUGGA